CCUACGGGUGGCUGCAGUGGGGAAUAUUGCUCAAUGGGGGAAACCCUGAUGCAGCGACGCCGCGUGAGCGAUGAAGUAUUUCGGUAUUUAAAGCUCUAUCAGUAGGGAAGCAAAUGACUGUACCUGACUAAGAAGCCCCGGCUAAAUACGUGCCAGCAGCCGCGGUAAUACGUAGGGGGUAAGCGUUAUCCGGAUUUACUGGGUGUUAAGGGAGCGUAGACGGCUGUGCAAGCCAGAUGUGAAAGCUCGGGGCUCAACCCCGGGACUGCAUUUGGAACUGUGGGGCUGGAGUGUCGGAGAGGCAGGCGGAAUUCCUGGUGUAGCGGUGAAAUGCGUAGAUAUUAGGAGGAACACCAGUGGCGAAGGCGGCAUGCUGGAGGAUAACUGACGUUGAGGCUCGAAAGCGUGGGGAGCGAACAGGAUUAGAUACCCGUGUAGUC
rnacentral:rRNA from 1 species